UUUCCGUAGGUGAACCUGCGGAAGGAUCAUUAUCGAAAUGCAAUCCUGGGGCGACCCCACCUAGCGAAGUUUGGUCGAUCGUAGGGAUUGUCGCUGGCCUUUGGAAACGAAGGCAUGUGCACGUUCCGAGUUCCCCUUAUUCCUCCUUUGCCUUUCCUUUGGAAGACCCUUUCUUAACACCCGUGCACACAUUGUAGGUCUCCGCGCUGGGAUCUAUGUCUUCACAACACUUUACGUAUGUCCAGCAACGUAUCUCAAGCGUCUAACGUCUCGGCCCCCCGUCACAUCGCAGAGGGUAAAGAACCAUAAUACAACUUUCAGCAACGGAUCUCUUGGCUCUC
rnacentral:misc_RNA from 1 species